GGCAGGAUAAACUUGCACCAGUAGGUAAAAUAUAUACUAUCAUAAUGAAAAGUGGUACAUGUAAUUCUCUAUUACAAAAAAUAACAUUAUGCAUUAUGCAUGAAGAUGUCGCUAGAUCCUUAGUACGCCUUGCCCAUCAGGCCAUCAACACAUCGAGUACAGGUAGACAUAGAAGCAUCGGUCAAGCCAUAGGGCUAACAGGAAAACGUGCCUGCACAUGAAGCAUUAUCAUUAACUGGGAAUGAAGGGUUCUACUUUCAAGUGUUUGUGAAGAACAUGGUGUAAAAGUCACUGCCCAGGAUCACCGCCACACUUUCAUCUCAACAUCAAUACAUUUCCAAUACCACUAAGGGAAAAUAGAGUUAAAAUUCAGUUCAGAACGAAAAUAGAAACAACCGUGGUCAAGAUGCAUAAUCCUUGUUCAAAUCGAACUGAUAGUCACCAAGUGCUAUAUAUUUUGGCUCCCUCCCAGAUCAAAUUAAUUUAUAAUUAUGGAGGAUUGUUCUUAACAAAGUAAUCGACAAAGAAGUGAUCACCAAUUGCCCUGUCUACUUAUAUCUCUAUGAAAGCAAAUGCAAGUGGAAACUACCGAGGUUCGGUAAAUAAGGAUUGACCAGUAGCUCUUUUCUAAACUAGAAGGUACAAAGUCUUACUUCUCACCACACGGAGUGGAGACCACAUCUUGUCAUUCUAUUGAGGUGAUACAUCUCUGAUCUCCAGAUUUCAUCUCAUUGAGAUUUUCAUUCCCUCCAUUCGAGUACAUAUACAUUCCGUUAAAACAAACUUUAUUCAGGACCAAGUGUUCCCAUGUAGCUUUAUGUCCAUGUUUCCUCUAAAGUUAAAUGUAUGAGAAACAAUCAUCAAGAAGAUAAAGGAAAAAUACAUGGUUUCUCACUGCAAAAAUAUCUUGGUUCCUGGUAAGGCCCUUCACAGACAUGAAAAGAAAAACAAUAUCACAGAGACUUCUUUUCAGCUCUACAAGAGAAAUUCUCAGGAGUAUGUAUCUUAGUUGUCUACCAUCGUUUGUCAAGUCAUCAUACAAAGAUAACAGGUGAGAACAAACAAAAUUGAAUGCUAAGAAAGGGCUGGUGUUUUUCAUACAAAUAAAUAUGUAUAAAUGUUAUUAAGCACAACUUACAGCAAUCAAAAAUAAUGGUCGGCCAUGCAAUUUUAUUUUUUCUAAAUAGGCAUGGGUGCAAGGAUCAAGGUUUUAAUCUUACAUGUCAUGCAGUCCAAGGGAGAAGUUGCUUCUGCCACCGCUCACUGGUCGUGUGCCUGAUAGUUCCACCCAAAGUGAUGUGCAUCCACUAUAAAUCCUUCGUCAGAUGAAAAAAGUCGCAACAAAAGAUCCCUACAAAAUCAGUAAUUAACUAUUCUGCUACAUUAAGGUGAAGGCAUGAAGCUAACAGAUAUCUCAACAAAACGAAAAUUAAUGCCUGCUUAGUGGGCUUAUAUAUGCGGCAGGGUCUUCCCUGAAUCAUGUGUGGCAUCAUCCAAACACGGUGUUAAGCAUCCCACAACGAGUGGUUCGGCGACAUGCUAUAGUACAGGGAGGUUUCUGUGAAGAACCAGGUGAGACAGCCAGUGCCGCUGAAGCAGUGAGGAUGAUGCCAGAGUUUGACAAAAUACCAAGUUUUCAAUUCACAUGUAUCGGUCAUCAUCGGUGUUUG
rnacentral:lncRNA from 1 species